rnacentral:rRNA from 1 species
GCAAUUAUACAGCGAAACUGCGAAUGGCUCAUUAUAUAAGUUAUCGUUUAUUUGAUAGUACCUUACUACUUGGAUAACCGUGGUAAUUCUAGAGCUAAUACAUGCUAAAAAUCCCGACUUCGGAAGGGAUGUAUUUAUUAGAUUAAAAACCAAUGCCCUCUGGGCUCCUUGGUGAUUCAUAAUAACUUUUCGAAUCGCAUGGCCUUGCGCCGGCGAUGGUUCAUUCAAAUUUCUUCCCUAUCAACUUUCGAUGUUUGGGUAUUGGCCAAACAUGGUCGCAACGGGUAACGGAGGGUUAGGGCUCGACCCCGGAGAAGGAGCCUGAGAAACGGCUACUACAUCCAAGGAAGGCAGCAGGCGCGCAAAUUACCCAAUCCCGAUUCGGGGAGGUAGUGACAAUAAAUACUGAUACAGGGCUCUUUUGGGUCUUGUAAUUGGAAUGAGUACAAUUUAAAUCCCUUAACGAGGAACAAUUGGAGGGCAAGUCUGGUGCCAGCAGCCGCGGUAAUUCCAGCUCCAAUAGCGUAUAUUAAAGUUGUUGUGGUUAAAAAGCUCGUAGUUGAACCUUGGGCCUGGCUGGCCGGUCCGCCUCACCGCGUGUACUGGUCCGGCCGGGCCUUUCCCUCUGUGGAACCUCAUGCCCUUCACUGGGUGUGGCGGGGAAACAGGACUUUUACUUUGAAAAAAUUAGAGUGCUCCAGGCAGGCCUAUGCUCGAAUACAUUAGCAUGGAAUAAUGAAAUAGGACGUGUGGUUCUAUUUUGUUGGUUUCUAGGACCGCCGUAAUGAUUAAUAGGGACAGUCGGGGGCAUCAGUAUUCAAUUGUCAGAGGUGAAAUUCUUGGAUUUAUUGAAGACUAACUACUGCGAAAGCAUUUGCCAAGGAUGUUUUCAUUAAUCAGGAACGAAAGUUAGGGGAUCGAAGACGAUCAGAUACCGUCGUAGUCUUAACCAUAAACUAUGCCGACUAGGGAUCGGACGAUGUUAUUUUUUGACGCGUUCGGCACCUUACGAGAAAUC